rnacentral:rRNA from 1 species
UAGUCCACGCCGUAAACGAUGGUCACUAGCUGUGUGGAUUUCGGUCUGCGUGGCUAAGCGAAAGUGAUAAGUGACCCACCUGGGGAGUACGUUCGCAAGAAUGAAACUCAAGGGAAUUGACGGGGGCCCGCACAAGCGGAGGAGCAUGUGGUUUAAUUCGAUGAUACGCGAGGAACCUUACCAAGGCUUAAAUGUAAUAUGACCGGUUGAGAGAUCAACCUUUUUUCGAACAGAUUACAAGGUGCUGCAUGGUUGUCGUCAGCUCGUGCCGUGAGGUGUCGGGUUAAGUCCCAUAACGAGCGCAACCCCUAUUUUUAGUUACCAGCGAGUAAUGUCGGGAACUCUAGAAAAACUGACCUGUGCAAACAGAGAGGAAGUGGGGAUGACGUCAAAUCAUCACGGCCCUUAUGUCUUGGGGCUACACACGUGCUACAAUGGGUUACUACAAUGU